rnacentral:rRNA from 1 species
UACGAAGGGGGCGAGCGUUGUUCGGAUUUACUGGGCGUAAAGGGCGCGUAGGCGGCGCGAGAAGUCGAGUGUGAAAGCCCCGGGCUCAACCUGGGAAUGGCGCUCGAUACUCUUGUGCUUGAGUUCGGGAGAGGAGCGUGGAAUUCCCAGUGUAGAGGUGAAAUUCGUAGAUAUUGGGGAAGAACACCGGUGGCGAAGGCGGCGCUCUGGACCGAGACUGACGCUGAGGCGCGAAAGCGUGGGGAGCAAACAGGG